UCCUGGAAAAUCAGAAUUCAUCUG
rnacentral:piRNA from 1 species